rnacentral:rRNA from 1 species
UGGGGAAUUUUGGACAAUGGGCGCAAGCCUGAUCCAGCCAUGCCGCGUGAGUGAAGAAGGCCUUCGGGUUGUAAAGCUCUUUCGGCGGGGACGAAACGGUUCGUGACAACACCACGGACUAAUGACGGUACUCGCAGAAGAAGCACCGGCUAACUACGUGCCAGCAGCCGCGGUAAUACGUAGGGUGCAGGCGUUAAUCGGAAUUACUGGGCGUAAAGCGUGCGCAGGCGGCUCCUUAAGUCAGAUGUGAAAUCCCCGGGCUUAACCUGGGAACUGCGUUUGAAACUGGGGAGCUGGAGUGUAGAAGAGGGGGGUGGAAUUCCAGGUGUAGCAGUGAAAUGCGUAGAGAUCUGGAGGAACACCGAUGGCGAAGGCAGCCCCCUGGGCUAACACUGACGCUCAUGCACGAAAGCGUGGGGAGCAAAC